GUCUACGGCCAUGCCACCCUGAACAUGCCCAAUCUUGUCUGAUCUUAGUAGGGUUGGUUCUGGUUAGUACUUGGAUGGGAGAAAAGGAGAAAGAGCUCAGUUGUUGAUA
rnacentral:rRNA from 1 species